rnacentral:rRNA from 1 species
CCUACGGGUGGCAGCAGUGAGGAAUAUUGGUCAAUGGACGAGAGUCUGAACCAACCAAGUAGCGUGAAGGAUGACUGCCCUAUGGGUUGUAAACUUCUUUUAUAUGGGAAUAAAACAGGGUAUGCAUACCCUCUUGUAUGUACCAUAUGAAUAAGGAUCGGCUAACUCCGUGCCACCAGCGGCGGUAAUACGGAGGAUCCGAGCGUUAUCCGGAUUUUUUGGGUUUAAAGGGACCGUAGGUGGAUUGUUAAGUCAGUUGUGAAUGUUUGCGGCUCAACCGUAAAAUUGCAGUUGAAACUGGCAGGCUUGAGUACAGUAGAGGUGGGCGGAAUUCGUGGUGUAGCGGUGAAAUGCUUAGAUAUCACGAAGAACUCCGAUUGCGAAGGCAGCUCACUGGACUGCAACUGACACUGAUGCUCGAAAGUGUGGGUAUCAAACAGGAUUAGAUACCCUUGUAGUC